AUGUGAAAUUCCAAUUUUUAAUUAAUUUUUCUUUGUUUUAUGGGCAAAUAAAUAGAGUUGGUGUAUGGUCUCAAAUGCUGCCAUUUGCAUACUUGUCUUGUAUUGAUUUUUUUAGGUCGCAUCUUUCUACUGGCCUUGAGAACGAUUUAUGUUAUACUUUAAACGUCUCCUUUUUCUUUUAUUUUUAAUUUUUUGCUAAGUUACUUGCAUUAAAUUUGUCAAGAAUUUGCCUUUUGUUCUUGGGGUUGAUCAUAUUGCAGCAGUUGAGGAUUGUGCACUAUUUUUAUGUGCAAUAUUUUGGUUCAAUUUAGUUCUGUUGGUAUAGUUCAUUUCAGUUUGGUUAUUCUCUCAACAACAGAGUGUUUGGUUCAAUUAGAAUCCAUUUGAAAUGAAUUCCACUGAUUGUUUGACAUGACGCAACUAGAAUUUAAUUCAUAUUUUCCUUGUUUGGAAACUAG
rnacentral:misc_RNA from 1 species